CCGCCGCCGCCACAGUCGUCCCUCGUGCCCAUCCCGUGCCCGCCUCCACUGUUGUCACUCUUCCCUUUCUUCGAUCGUCUUUGUGCUUGCCACCACCAUCUGUAGUCCUUUUCUUCGACCACGUUCGUGUCCAGCCCUCACCACCACCGUUGCACGUCCACAUCUGUCUCACAGGCUCAAAUCUAGUCUGCUUGUGGCUAGAUAUGUUGCAAGAGCGCCGAUUAGCUGUCAUCCGAAAGGUUCAAUUGUCUGUGAUGCUUCCUGAUGGAACUCCAGCGUCGGUGGCAGCCGCAGCAAGGCUUAAUCAACGACAGGGGUAGCAUAGUGUAUUUUGAUCAUAUAGUAGUAAGUUCUUCUUUUGCUUUAUUUCAUGGAGUCGAGAAGUUGUCAAGUGGUUGUUUAAGAGUACUGGGUUGUUAUCCUUUUGUUUAGGAGGUGUGUUUCUAGUGUGUAUAACUCUUGAUUCUCUUUAAUCAUUUCAAAUUAUCCAGAAACAAUUUUCCAUGAAGAAGAUGAUUUACAUUAAUUGAAAAAGGACUAAAAAUAAAAUUUUGACACACAUAUGUGUGUGUGUGGAUUGGACUGUAGGCUCACUGUGGAUUGGACUGUAGGCUCACUGUUGGGCUAAUUUCAUGGAGAUCCAUAUUUUAAGAUUCUGAUGAUAGCCAUUCGAUUUCGUAUUUGGAGACAAUUUUUUGACUUUGCCUUUCAACUUCACUAUAUUUUUAUAUAUAUACACACACACACAUCAAGAGAAAAGGUAGUGGGAGUGAGAUUUAAGAGUGGGGAGCUAAUUUCACAAAGUACAAAAUGUAUAAUAAUUAUUAAAGUACAAGUGGAAGCUUUUUGUAGAUUCCCAUUUUAGAACACACAAAAUUGUAGAGUUAAAUAAUGAGUGUGUUUGCAAAAUGUGGUUUGUUGUUUCUUGUUCCCAGUAGAGAGAGAACAAACAAAUUACAGCUAAUAUCUUAGAUCUUGAUUUCAUAUAAUAAUUCUCACUAUCUUUUUCUGUGCUUUUAUAUAUUUUAUUAAAAAAUGUUCUUUCUGGUACCUUGGAAACUUCUCAGUUUUGUUGUAUAUAUGUAUAUAUUAUUCUCUUUUGGGCUUUAGUUUAGCUAAUAUGAAUCUUAAUCAUUUGGGUUUUGGCAAAUGGAUUAUCAGAUUUGGUCAUGUUCUUCUCUAGAUUAAUUAAAUGAUUAUUAUUAUAUAAUGUAUGUAUAUUUGCCCCAUAAACUUAUAGAUUUCAACACAAUAUAGAUGUUUAAGUCAUGUCUUUAAUUUUAGGUUAUUAACUCUAGCUCACAUAAUAAUAAUACUAAGAAGAAGGUGGUUUAAUAAUGAUACAAUAUUGUAAAACAAAAAGUUAUUUUGUUUGCAUAUAAAUCUGGUAUGGAUGAUGACGACUUAUUUCUUAUACUUUCAUUAGGCUUUUCGACUUGGUAUGGUGCUUCUUGUUUUGAAUGCUUCUUAGAUAUUGUCAUUUAUCUUGUUUGUUAAUUUUCAGAUUCUUUUCUUGGGUUUGUAGGCUACUUUGGCUGAUUCCUUUCUAGCAUAUCUUGAUGAACUCUCUAAUGUAAACAAGUUUCAGGUUUCUAAAGGCUUUUUACUUCUCCGUGUAAAUGAAGUAAUAACUAUGUUGGAUGUUAUUAAGUGAGUGGUCCAGGGGCUUUAUAAAAUAGCUGGAAGCAAACUCAAUGGCUUGAUUGCUGGGGCUUGGGGAUGUCUUUGAGAGAAAAAGGUAUCUACAACGUGAAUCUAAUGACACUCAUUGUUUUUGUUACUUGGCUUUGAGCUCACUAUGGUUUAAUUGCUUAAAGAGAUCAUGAAAGUAUCAAAGAGAUACAUAAGAGAACAAAUGAGAUGCAGAAGAUGGGUUACAAGCGUUUUGCAAAGAACUGCAAAGAAAAAUGGGAAAAUAUGAACAAAUAUUUCAAAAGGAUCGGACCAUUGUAACUGGGAAGGCUAGUAUUGCAAAUGAUGCUUGUUAGCAGCAGCAGACAGUAUUUAUUUCUACCAAACAGAAGUAUACAAGUAGGCUGCCCUUUGCUAGCAGCAGACAAGACAAGGAAUAGAAACUCUGUAUGAUAUUUAUUUCUGGUUAUAAUCUUGGAUAUGGGCCUUCUUGUAGCUGGCACAAAAUAUCGUGGGGAGUUUGAAGAAAGAUUAAAGAAACUGAUGGAGGAAAUAAAACAAAGUGAUGAAAUAAUUCUAUUUAUUGAUGAGGUACAUACAUUAAUUGGAGCAGGGGCUGCAGAAGGAGCUAUUGAUGCAGCAAACAUAUUAAAACCUGCCCUUGCAAGGGGUGAACUGCAGCCAUUGGCAAAGAAACUUGGGAUAAAAGUGGUGCCAACUUUCAAAAUUCUAAAGGAUAAGAAGGUCGUUAAAGAAGUAACUGGAGCAAAGUUCGAUGAUUUGGUUCAUGCCAUUGAUACUGUAAGAUCCAGCUGAAAACUCUCCUCUCUUCUCUUCUUUGAAAAUUUAAAUAAUAUGAUGCAAGGAAGAGUGUUCAGGGCAGUUAUUUAAAUAAUAUGAUGCAAGGAAUCGACCAUGGAAAAUG